AAAGAGCCUCCUCUGCCAGUGCCUAUAGGGCUGGCAAAGCUUCUGAGAUUCUUAGCUGCAUCCUUGCCCACAUCGUGGUGGGAAGCACUCCUGCCUGUUUCUGCUGCUCUCUAGCUCAGCAGCAUGUUAUACUUCAGCAUGUUUUCAAACAGGCUGGAGCACUUUGGUUCAGUAAAAGGAUGGUUUUAUUUUGCUGUAGCUGUUUUUCCUGUAGAAAG